rnacentral:sRNA from 1 species
AUCUGCUAUGCAUUUGUGCAGUGCAUCGAUCAUUUCGUGAGCAUGCAUUUCGCCCGGCUCGAAAAUGCGCCAUCGAUCAAGUAUCGGUUAAGUUGCUUUCUCAGGGACUACUGCACGAGAUCAGAACGGCCCAGCAGAAUAAAAAAACGCCCACCGGCGGAGCCGGAAGGC